rnacentral:rRNA from 1 species
CUAACUGCGUGCCAGAAGCGUCGGUAAGACGUGGGCCCCGAGCGUUAUCCGGUGUUACUGGGCGUAAAGAGUCGUGUAGGCGGUUCGAAAAAGUUACCUUUUAAAUCCCAAUGCUCAACAUUGGAACUGGAGGUAAAUACUCUCGAACUAGAGUUUUCUACAGGGUGAAUGGAACUGUGGGAGGAGUAGUGAAAUGCGUUGAUCCCCACGGGAACACCAGUGGCGAAGGCGGUUCACUGGUAGAAGACUGACGCUGAGACACGAAAGCUAGGGUAUCGAAGCAGAUUAGAGACCUGCGUAGUCCUAGCCGUAAACGCAUGCUUGCUAGCUGCAUUUCCGCCCCUUCGGGGGUUAGGUGUGGCGAAGGUAACCCGUUAAGCAAGCCGCCUGGGGAUUACGGUCGCAAGACUAAAACUCAAGGGAAUUGGCGGGGAGGCACACAACCAGUGGAACAUGUGGUUUAAUUCGAAACAAACCGAAGAACCUCACCUGGGUUUGACAUGUAGCUGCUCAUCCUAUGAAAGUAGGACUCCUUCGAGGGUGCUACACAGGUGCUGCAUGGCUGUCGUCAGUUCGUUCCGUGAGGAGUGCCCUUAAGUGGGACAACGAACGCAACCCCCAUCGUAUGUUAUAUCUGUCAUACGAAACUGCCUUGCCGUUGGCGAGGAGGAAGGAGGGGCAGACGUCAAGUCUGCAUGGUCCUUAUGCCCAGGGCUACACACAUGUUACAAUGAGAAGGAACAAUGAGCAUUGCGAACUCGCGAGGGUAAGCAAAUCUCAGAAAUCUUCUCUCAGUGGGGAUUGGAGUCUGCAAUUCGACUCCAUGAACGCGGAAUUGGUAGUAAUCGCGGGUCAGCUAUACCGCGGUGAAUACGUUCUUGCCUCUUGCACACACCGCCCGUCAAGCCAACAAAGUCGGGG